UUUGAGGCGAGUGUUAUGCCAUUUUACAAGGAGGGAAAUUGAGAUGCUGAGAGGUACAUUUGCUCAGUUACUGAGGGAGCUGACAGCAGGCCAGCCCCGGGAAGGGAGUUGACAUUUGACCCUGCUACAGAUGAAAUGAACGAGAACUUCCCAUAAUACCCACUGGCAUGAGGUGCUGAGGCUCCUAACAAGUAACAGCUGUCCAUCGGAUGUCUCCAUGAUGCACGGACCUGCCUUCUCUGAUCUGAAAACAGACUUGGAUCAAAAUGUCUUUCCAUGCUGGCAACAGUCAAGCCUGCUUUGCAAGGCAGGGACUGGUGAAGACAGAGGCCUCUGGGGACCAUAAUGUUUUCUGCACUGGC